rnacentral:rRNA from 1 species
UACGGGGGGGGCAAGCGUUGUUCGGAAUUACUGGGCGUAAAGGGCUCGUAGGCGGCCAACUAAGUCAUACGUGAAAUCCCUCGGCUUAACCGGGGAACUGCGUCUGAUACUGGAUGGCUUGAGUUCGGGAGAGGGAUGCGGAAUUCCAGGUGUAGCGGUGAAAUGCGUAGAUAUCAGGAGGAACACCGGUGGCGAAGGCGGGUCUCUGGGCCGUAACUGACGCUGAGACGCGAAAGCGUGGGGAGCAAACAGG